rnacentral:tRNA from 1 species
GUGGGUGUAGCUCAGCUGGUAGAGCACUGGGUUGUGGCCCCAGACGCCGAGGGUUCGAGUCCCUUCACUCACCCCA